rnacentral:rRNA from 1 species
UACGUAGGGGGCUAGCGUUGUCCGGAAUCAUUGGGCGUAAAGAGCGUGUAGGCGGCGCCGUAAGUCAGGUGUGAAAUUUCGGAGCUUAACUCCGAAACUGCAUUUGAUACUGCGGUGCUUGAGGACUGGAGAGGAGACUGGAAUUUACGGUGUAGCAGUGAAAUGCGUAGAGAUCGUAAGGAAGACCAGUGGCGAAGGCGGGUCUCUGGACAGUUCCUGACGCUGAGGCACGAAGGCCAGGGGAGCAAACGGG